rnacentral:rRNA from 1 species
GACGAGCAUCACAAACGUUAUUCGGAAUUACUGGGCUUAAAGGGUGCGUAGGCGGUGUCGCAAGUCGGGAGUGAAAUCCCACGGCUCAACCGUGGAAUUGCUUUCGAUACUGCGGCGCUUGAGGAAGACAGAGGUGAGCGGAACUUCGGGUGGAGCGGUGAAAUGCGUUGAUAUCCGAAGGAACACCGGUGGCGAAGGCGGCUCACUGGGUCUUAUCUGACGCUGAGGCACGAAAGCUAGGGUAGCAAACGGG